AGCGAACGCUGGCGGCAGGCCUAACACAUGCAAGUCGAACGAACCCUUCGGGGUUAGUGGCGGACGGGUGAGUAACACGUGGGAACGUGCCUUUAGGUUCGGAAUAACUCAGGGAAACUUGUGCUAAUACCGAAUGUGCCCUUCGGGGGAAAGAUUUAUCGCCUUUAGAGCGGCCCGCGUCUGAUUAGCUAGUUGGUGAGGUAAUGGCUCACCAAGGCUACGAUCAGUAGCUGGUCUGAGAGGAUGACCAGCCACAUUGGGACUGAGUCACGGCCCAAACUCCUACGGGAGGCAGCAGUGGGGAAUCUUGCGCAGUGGGCGAAAGCCUGACGCAGCCAUGCCGCGUGGAUGAUGAAGGUCUUAGGAUUGUAAAAUCCUUUCACCGGUGAAGAUAAUGACUGUAGCCGGAGAAGAAGCCCCGGCUAACUUCGUGCCAGCCGCCGCAGUAAGAC
rnacentral:rRNA from 1 species